rnacentral:lncRNA from 1 species
UUUCAUGGAUACAGAGUUUCUGUUUGGGAUGAUGAAAAUGGAUAGUGGUGACUAUUGCACAACAUUGUGAAUAUACUUAAUGUCACUGAAUUGUAGACGUAAAAAUAGUUGAGGCUGGGUGCAGUGGCUCAUGCCUAUAAUCUCAACACUUUGGGAGGCCAGGGCGGGAGGAGUGCUUGGGUCCAGGAGGUUGAGACCAGCCUAGGCAACAUAGUGAGACUCCACCUCUGUUAAAAACAAACAACUAACUAAAAAUAGUUAAAAUGGUAAAGCGUAUGUUAUUUUACCACAAUAAAAAGGGGAGAAAAGAUCUGCGAUCUGAAAAUCAUAUAUACAUAUAUAUGUGUAUAUAUAUGAAAUUCAUGCUUCUUAUUAAAAGUUAAAAUAGUUGGUAAGUAACAUAUUCACUGUUAACAGUUUAAACUGCUAGUCAAUGUGUGCAUGCUUAGUUUGUUGUUGCUAUUAUUUUGGGGUUUUGCAAAUGAGAUCAAUAGCAUGUCCUGAUAUCUCUCUGUUCCUGUACAUAUGUAGCUAUAAGGUUUAGUACUAGAAUACUUAGAGAAAGAAAAUCUUAUUUUUUUUUCUUUCUGUGUUUAGGAAUAUUACAGCAAAUGAGUCUUCUUUGGUGGUCCAGCCACACCAGCCCUUAUACUUCACAGCGUGAGUGAUAUAAACAUGAAGGCCAGGUGCGGCGGCUUACACCCGUAAUCCCAGCACUUUGGGAAGAGUGAAGUGGAGGAAGAGGUACAUUCAACUACAGAGGAGGAAACUGAGGCCCAGAGGGGAAAAGUGACUUGAUUGACAAAAAUUGGAUUCUGGUCUUUGUUCUGCCAAAGCCACUAAAUCUGUGUUGCUGAGUCUGCUGUUUGCAUGCAGGAAUGUGAAGGACUGCUCAAGUUGGAGAUACAAAUUGAAGCCAGCCCCAGUUCAAAACUGUUACAAAUGGAGUCUGUAGGCAUGAGGGGCUGACUAUAUAACUCAGAGUUCUCCAGUACUUUACUUUAAUAAAGAACACAAUCUUUAUUAAAGGAUAAGUAAUAAAAAUGUGUUGAUGUGCAACUUAUGGAUCUAUUAUUAAAACUCAACAGUCAUUGCAGCAAUGUUUAGAACUUAAGCAAACAAAAGUUUUGUGAGGGGGCAAUUUUAUCAAUGACAUUGUUUAGAAAUGUUGGUAGAUGGUGAUCAUAAAAAGCAGAUCAAUGUUUUAUUUCACUUGGGUUUUUAAAAAUUAUUUUUAAAAAAUU